GAUGAACGCUGGCGGCGUGCCUAAUACAUGCAAGUCGAGCGAACAGACGCGGAGCUUGCUCCUCUGAUGUUAGCGGCGGACGGGAGAGUAACAUGUGGAUAACUUACCUACAAGACUGGGAUAACUUCGGGAAACUGGUGCUAAUACCGGAUACUAUAUUGAACCGCAUGGUUUAAUAGUGUCAGACGGUUUUGCUGUCACUUAUAGAUGGCUCCGCGCUGCUUUAGCUAGUUGGUAGGGUAACGGCUUCCCAAGGCAGCGGUGGGUAGCCGACCUGCGAGAGUGUACGGGCACACUGGGGCUGAGACACCGUCCAGACUCCUACAGGAGGCAGCGAUAGGGAAGCGUCGGCGAUGGGCGGAAGCCUGCCCGAGCGGCGCCGCGUGGAUGAAGAAGGUCUGCGGGUCGUAUGACUCUGUUAUUAGUGAAGAACAAAUGUAUAAGUAACGAUGCUCGUCGUGACGGUACCUGAUCAAAAAGCCACGGCUAACUACGUG
rnacentral:rRNA from 1 species